rnacentral:rRNA from 1 species
UACGAAGGGGGCUAGCGUUGUUCGGAUUUACUGGGCGUAAAGCGCACGUAGGCGGAUCUUUAAGUCAGAGGUGAAAUCCCAAGGCUCAACCUUGGAACUGCCUUUGAUACUGGGAUCUUGAGUUCGGGAGAGGUGAGCGGAACUGCGAGUGUGGAGGUGAAAUUCGUAGAUAUUCGCAAGAACACCAGUGGCGAAGGCGGCUCACUGGCCCGAUACUGACGCUGAGGCACGAAAGCGUGGGUAGCAAACAGG